GAUGAACGCUGGCGGCGUGCCUAAUACAUGCAAGUCGAGCGAACGGACGAGAAGCUUGCUUCUCUGAUGUUAGCGGCGGACGGGUGAGUAACACGUGGGUACUCUACCUAUAAGACGGGGAUAACUUCGGGAAACCGGAGCUAAUCCCGGAUAAUAUUUUGAACCGCAUGGUUCAAAAGUGAAAGACGGCCUUGCUGUAACUAAUCGAGGGAUCCCCGCUGCAUUAGCUAGUUGGUAAGGUAACGGCUUACCAAGGCAACGAUGCAUAGCCGACCUGAGAGGGUGAUCGGCCACACUGGAGCUGAGACGCGGUCCAGACUCCUACGGGAGGCAGCAGUAGGGAAUCUUCCGCAAUGGGCGAAAGCCUGACGGAGCAACGCCGCGUGAGUGAUGAAGGUCUUCGGAUCGUAAAACUCUGUUAUUAGGGAAGAACAUAUGUGUAAGUAACUGUGCACAUCUUGACGGUACCUAAUCAGAAAGCCACGGCUAACUACGUG
rnacentral:rRNA from 1 species